rnacentral:rRNA from 1 species
AUAAUGGGUCAGCGACUUAUAUUCUGUAGCAAGGUUAACCGAAUAGGGGAGCCGAAGGGAAACCGAGUCUUAACUGGGCGUUAAGUUGCAGGGUAUAGACCCGAAACCCGGUGAUCUAGCCAUGGGCAGGUUGAAGGUUGGGUAACACUAACUGGAGGACCGAACCGACUAAUGUUGAAAAAUUAGCGGAUGACUUGUGGCUGGGGGUGAAAGGCCAAUCAAACCGGGAGAUAGCUGGUUCUCCCCGAAAGCUAUUUAGGUAGCGCCUCGUGAAUUCAUCUCCGGGGGUAGAGCACUGUUUCGGCAAGGGGGUCAUCCCGACUUACCAACCCGAUGCAAACUGCGAAUACCGGAGAAUGUUAUCACGGGAGACACACGGCGGGUGCUAACGUCCGUCGUGAAGAGGGAAACAACCCAGACCGCCAGCUAAGGUCCCAAAGUCAUGGUUAAGUGGGAAACGAUGUGGGAAGGCCCAGACAGCCAGGAUGUUGGCUUAGAAGCAGCCAUCAUUUAAAGAAAGCGUAAUAGCUCACUGGUCGAGUCGGCCUGCGCGGAAGAUGUAACGGGGCUAAACCAUGCACCGAAGCUGCGGCAGCGACGCUUAUGCGUUGUUGGGUAGGGGAGCGUUCUGUAAGCCUGCGAAGGUGUGCUGUGAGGCAUGCUGGAGGUAUCAGAAGUGCGAAUGCUGACAUAAGUAACGAUAAAGCGGGUGAAAAGCCCGCUCGCCGGAAGACCAAGGGUUCCUGUCCAACGUUAAUCGGGGCAGGGUGAGUCGACCCCUAAGGCGAGGCCGAAAGGCGUAGUCGAUGGGAAACAGGUUAAUAUUCCUGUACUUGGUGUUACUGCGAAGGGGGGACGGAGAAGGCUAUGUUGGCCGGGCGACGGUUGUCCCGGUUUAAGCGUGUAGGCUGGUUUUCCAGGCAAAUCCGGAAAAUCAAGGCUGAGGCGUGAUGACGAGGCACUACGGUGCUGAAGCAACAAAUGCCCUGCUUCCAGGAAAAGCCUCUAAGCAUCAGGUAACAUCAAAU